rnacentral:rRNA from 1 species
UACGGAGGGUGCGAGCGUUGUCCGGAAUCAUUGGGCGUAAAGGGCGCGUAGGUGGCCUGGUCAGCGUGCGGUGAAAGCCUGGGGCUCAACCCCGGGUCGGCCGUGCGAACUGCUGGGCUUGAGCACUGUAGAGGCAGGCGGAAUUCCGGGUGUAGCGGUGGAAUGCGUAGAGAUCCGGAAGAACACCGGUGGCGAAGGCGGCCUGCUGGGCAGUAGCUGACACUGAGGCGUGACAGCGUGGGGAGCAAACAGG